UUACAGCUGCAAGACCCUCAGCAGAGCCAUGAUGGUGGGAAAAGUGACACUCAAGGGAUCUCAUCCAGGAAGUGAACACCGGCUGUGUUGGAUGAACUGAUCAGCCAGAACAACGUCAGAGGAUACAGAGGAUUACCUGCAGCAACCAGCCUGAAAGACUCGAGACAUCAGUGUUUAUAGUUUGCCAUCAUACAUCUUCUUGGGUUUCAUUUGCUCUGUGGCUCAUCAUCUUAUACAAGUCAAUAAUGUUUUUGGGUUUUUUUUAUUAAAAGAUGCUCUGUGGAACUUC